AGGGGCUUGUAAAUAUAAUGGUCACAUGACCAUAAUUUUGUUCCAUUGCCUAGAUAUAAGGGGUGUCUCACAUUACCCAAUGUCUCACAAUACCCCGCUCUCCCCUACUUGUGAGUUUGAAAAUGUA